GACGAACGCUGGCGGCGUGCCUAACACAUGCAAGUCGAACGGAAAGGCCCUGCUUGUGUGGGGUGCUCGAGUGGCGAACGGGUGUGUAACCCGUGAGUCACCUUCCCUGGGCUUUGGGAUGACUUCAGGAAACCGGGGCUAAUACCUGAUAGGAGCUCCUGCUGCAGGGUGGGGUUUGGAAAGUUUCGUCUGUUGGGGAUCGACUCGCGGCUUAUCAGCUUGUUGGUUGGGUAGUGGCCUACCAAGGCUUUGACGGGUAGCCGGCCUGAGAGGGUGACCGGCGACAUUGGGACUGCGAUACGGCCCAGACUCCAACGGGAGGCAGCAGUGGGGAAUAUUGCACAAUGGGCCGAAGCCUGAUGCAGCAACGCCGCGUGCGGGAAGACGGCCUUCGGGUUGUAAAGCGCUUUCGCCUGUGACGAAGCGUGAGUGACGGUAAUGGGUAAAGAAGCACCGGCUAACUACGUG
rnacentral:rRNA from 1 species